rnacentral:rRNA from 1 species
ACGGGUGAGUAACACGUAGCUGACCUACCCUGUAGUGGGGGAUAACCUGCCGAAAGGCGGGCUAAUACCGCAUGGACUCUGGGGGUUUAGAAAGCCCAGAGGAAAGCUUUAGUGCUACAGGCAGGGGCUGCGGCCCAUCAGCUAGUUGGUAGGGUAACGGCCUACCAAGGCGGUGACGGGUAGGGGACCUGAGAGGGUGGCCCCCCACACUGGGACUGAGACACGGCCCAGACUCCUACGGGAGGCAGCAGUAAGGAAUAUUGGUCAAUGGGCGCAAGCCUGAACCAGCAACGCCGCGUGGAGGAAGAAGGGUUUCGGCUCGUAAACUCCUUUUAGGUGGGACGAGACAGGACGGUACCACCUGAAUAAGUCUCGGCUAACUACGUGCCAGCAGCCGCGGUAAAACGUAGGAGACGAGCGUUAUCCGGAUUUACUGGGCGUAAAGCGCGUGCAGGCGGUUCAAUAAGUCAUAUGUGAAAGCACCUGGCUCAACUGGGUGAGGCCAUGUGAGACUGUUGAACUAGAGAGAGGUAGAGGCCAACGGAAUUCCGGGUGGAGUGGUGAAAUGCGUAGA